GUUUAGUCGCAGGGGCUGCGGGGUGGCAGCCUCAGAGCCCUGUCCUUCCGCAGCCGUGGGCCCCGCAGGGACCAGCCAAGCAGGGCAACCAAAAGCUGGAACCAGCAGCGAAAACCCCGAGCCCACGAACGCAGCGCAGUGCGGGAACACUUGCCCUUUGUUCCUCAGUAAGGCCGGGUGUUUUCGCAUCCCCGGAGGUUGUGAAUUUGAGUUAUAAUGGCCUCGGUCGGGACUGAGAGAGCCGAGCUUCCACGAGAGAGCUUUGCCUGCUUUGUCCUACAAAUCGGCGGAGGGAGUAGCAUCCUGGCUUUUCUAGGGCGCCAUUUCCCUGCUACAGGCAAUCUCCCCUCCCCCACGCUGUCAAUGAUUUGUGGGAUUCUUAGGCAGGCGGGGCAGGCCGAGCCCAGGGAAUGCACGCUGAGUCCUAGACACAGAGCCAGGCCGGGUGGAAAACAAAAAGAGAAGAAGUGAUUAUGAAAUAAUAAGACGGACCGUGUGCCCCUUGCAAGGUGCGGCCUGCGAAAUCAACAGACUUAUAAAUAAGGUCUGGUGGAAGCGCAGGAGCGCACGCGGGAGGCUAUGGCGGGGGAACCUCUGUGAGUUCCGCGGCGGAGGCUAGAACAUCGCUGUGGCUGCGGGACCCUCACCCGGCGCUGAAAACCCUCCACAUCAGCUCCUGCUCGGAAAUGUCUCCGCAGCUCACCAGUGCUUUUCGAAAUCUGCCCAAGACCUUUGUUUGCCAUUUAAAUGAAAUGAAAACUUUCACUCUUGUUGCCCAGGCUGGAGUGCAACAGCAUGAUCUCAGCUCACUGCAACCUCUGUCUCCCGGGUUCAAGUGAUUCUCCUGCCUCAGACUCCCAAGUGGCUGGCAUUACAGGCAUGUACCACCAUGCUCGGGUAGUUUUGUAUUUUUAGUAGAGACGGGGUUUCUCCAUGUUGGUCAGGCUGGCCUCAAACUCCCGACCUCAAGUGAUCCGCCUGCCUCAGCCUCCCAAAGUGCUGGGAUUACAGGCGUGAGUCACCGUGCCCGGCCUCUUUUUCUUUUUUUAAAGAAAUCAGAGAAGGAGGAGGAUGAAGUGCUGAUGGACAAAUGUUUGCCAAAUCCUUUGUUUCCAACAUACCCUGACUGAUGAGGGGUCAUGUAGGCAUGACAUUCGACCAAAAUUCUGCCAGAAAGCAAAAGAAAAAAUCUUGCAGCAGAAAGUGGAGAGAUUCUUAACGACCUCUACCGAGAGAAAUGCAUGGUUCUGAAAAAGAAGCUGAUUCAGGACUGGUAUAAAUAGGAAAAGAAAUGACAGAAGCUACCAGCUGCAGAGGAAAUGAAAACUUACAAGCAGAGAAGUGAAGAAAUGUUGAAUGAAUUAUGGCCAACAGUGAGAUCUCACCACCCCAGACCAUCCUCGUGGUGAGAAGGCUCGUGACAGCUGGCCCGAGGUCAUUGCUGGAGUGGAAGGUGAGCUAUGCCAGCCUUGGAUAGAAACUAAUACAGCUGAAUCCAUGAUUUCAGAGAGAAACCUUCACCAGGCUCCCCUGCUCUGUACGCUGAUAUUGGAGGAAAACAAGCUCUGCCCACUACCCACGUGGCCACUGGUCACUCCUACAGAAUACACUUGGAUGCAUCCUCGCCAUGGGGGGCUUCCGGGCCUCCUUGCGGUCUGCCUGUCAUUCUCACUGGGCUCCGCCUCCUCCAGACUUAGAGAACAUUGCAAUGGUGAGACACGCUUUCCCAUGCAGUCAGGGCCAUCUCUUGGGGUUCUGGAGGGAGCUCGCCCUUGAGAAUCAGAGGUCCCCAAGGCUCUGCUUCUGACCUGAAGUCACCACUUCGCCCUCAUCCUGUCCCAGCGCAGAAGGACUCUUUGUCUCCACCUCAUGCAAGAUAGGAGAAUGUCGUCAGGUUCCAGAGCUGCCCCUUCUCCAGCGGCGGCUUACAGGAGGACUCACAGCCUCCACCAUCCUUCGGUGUGACAGUGGGCGGAGGACUCACAGCCUCCACCAUUCCUUCGGUGUGACAGUGGGCGGAACGUCCUCCCUGCUUCGAAUCCAUUUCCAUUUCCCAUUUUUUAUUUGCUUAGGCUGUCCUGAAAUUGUGCUUUUUUUUUCUUUUUUUGAGACGGAGUCUCGCUCUUGUUGCCCAGGCUGGAGCGGGAUCUCGGCUCACUGCAAGCCCCGCCUCUUGGGUUCAAUCAAUUCUCCUGCCUCAGCUUCCCAAGCAGCUGGGAUUACAGGCACACACCACCAUGCCCAUCUAAUUUUUGUAUUUUUAGUAGAGAUGGGGUUUCACCAUGUUGGCCAAACUGGUCUCAAACUCCUGACCUCAGGUGAUCCGCCUGUCUCAGCCUCCCAAAGUGCUGGGAUUACAGGCGUGAGCCACUGUGCCCGGCCAAAAUUGUGCAUUUUGAGUCACACAUGAAGAAGACUCUGAAGAUGAAGCCAUCUGAAGUAUUACUUGCCUGUUUUAUUUAGCAUCAAUUCCAGUAAUUAACAAAUUAAACAUUAUGAAACUGCUGUGAAAACACCUUUAAUAAACAUUUUUGAAGUUCAAAACUAUUGUCAAAGUACUUCAGAAUGGAAGAGAAAACCCUUACAACCUUAUUGCAAUUUGGAAUGUAGUAAGGAGGUCCCCACCUCCACACCAUAAUAAUUCCUUCGCUCAGGAAUCAAAUGAUCUGGAAUGCCACUCCCUGGGACUUGUUCCUUUGUGCUACGAGUUGCCUUUAUCCUAGAAACCUAUUUAAAUCAUGCAGUUCCUGAGUGGGCACCACACUGCCUCUAGUACCUUUAAAGGUACAGGAACUUUUCAGACUCAGCUGCCUUCAGGAUCAGAAGAGCACAGGGCUAGUGCGUUCUGCUGAGUGGGAGGUGAGGGGGAGAAGCUACUCCUUGCCUCGUAAUGCCUGCUCCUGAAGCCCCCGUGAUUCUGGGUGUAGGACCGAGCAGACUACACCGGGGCUUUUCCCAGACAGACAUUGGGAAAAGGCCUGGCUGACCUUCCCAGGACAAUGCAGGUGACUGCAGUCCUCCUCCUGGUGAAUGGGACAGUCACUGGGGAGUCCUACAGGCCUUUGGAAGUAUUGCCGUACAGCCGGGCACACCCAGCUUUCAUCCUUGCAAAUGGCAUUAGAAGCCAUGGGAUGUAUCUGACAAAUACUUCCCGUGCAUCAGGCAGUGUUCUAGGCAUCGGGAAGACAGCAGCAGACGAAUCAGACAAAAGUCUCAGUCCUCCAGGAGCAAACACGGCAGGUGAAGCUGUAAAGUUAGAAGAGCGCGAUUCCUCAGGUCGGCAGUUUCCCAUGUUUUUGUUGUUUCCUGCUCGUUGCCCUUUAUUGGAUUUUUUAUGCCAAUUUCACUCUUUUCCAUACCUUCCUCUUUUCUCUGUUAAAUAGAGUGUGGUGAGACUGAGUAAUUAAAG